CCUACGGGAGGCAGCAGUGGGGAAUAUUGCACAAUGGGGGAAACCCUGAUCCAGCGAAGCCGCGUGAGUGAAGAAGGAUUUAGUGAUGUAAAGCUCUUUCAGCAGGGAAGAAAAUGACGGUACCUGAGUAAUAAGCCACGGCUAACUACGUGCCGGCAGCCGCGGUAAUACGUAGGGGGCAAGCGUUAUCCGGAUUUACUGGGUGUAAAGGGAGCGUAGACGGCAGUGCAAGUCUGGAGUGAAAGGCGGGGGCUCAACCCCCGGACUGCUCUGGAAACUGUACGGCUGGAGUGUAGGCGAGGUAAGUGGAAUUCGUAGUGUAGCGGUGAAAUGCGUAGAUAUUAGGCGGAACACCAGUUGCGAAGGCGGCCUACUGGACCAUAACUGACGUUGAGGCUCGAAAGCGUGGGGAGCAAACAGGAUUAGAUACCCGUGUAGUC
rnacentral:rRNA from 1 species